CCGGUAAACGGCGGCCGUAACUAUAACGGUCCUAAGGUAGCGAAAUUCCUUGUCGGGUAAGUUCCGACCUGCACGAAUGGCGUAAUGAUGGCCAGGCUGUCUCCACCCGAGACUCAGUGAAAUUGAACUCGCUGUGAAGAUGCAGUGUACCCGCGGCAAGACGGAAAGACCCCGUGAACCUUUACUAUAGCUUGACACUGAACAUUGAGCCUUGAUGUGUAGGAUAGGUGGGAGGCUUUGAAGUGUGGACGCCAGUCUGCAUGGAGCCGACCUUGAAAUACCACCCUUUAAUGUUUGAUGUUCUAACGUUGACCCGUAAUCCGGGUUGCGGACAGUGUCUGGUGGGUAGUUUGACUGGGGCGGUCUCCUCCUAAAGAGUAACGGAGGAGCACGAAGGUUGGCUAAUCCUGGUCGGACAUCAGGAGGUUAGUGCAAUGGCAUAAGCCAGCUUGACUGCGAGCGUGACGGCGCGAGCAGGUGCGAAAGCAGGUCAUAGUGAU
rnacentral:rRNA from 1 species